rnacentral:rRNA from 1 species
UGGCGGCGUGCUUAACACAUGCAAGUCGAACGGGAUCCAUCAAGCUUGCUUGGUGGUGAGAGUGGCGAACGGGUGAGUAAUGCGUGACCGACCUGCCCCAUACACCGGAAUAGCUCCUGGAAACGGGUGGUAAUGCCGGAUGCUCCAGUUGAUCGCAUGGUCUUCUGGGAAAGCUUUCGCGGUAUGGGAUGGGGUCGCGUCCUAUCAGCUUGACGGCGGGGUAACGGCCCACCGUGGCUUCGACGGGUAGCCGGCCUGAGAGGGCGACCGGCCACAUUGGGACUGAGAUACGGCCC